UUAUGCUGAUAAGAGCGUAUGGUGGAUGCCUUGGCACUAAGAGCCGAUGAAAGACGUGAUAAGCUGCGAAAAGCUUCGGGGAGGAGCAAAUAUCCUUUGAUCCGGAGAUCUCUGAAUGGGGAAACCUACUUGAGUGCACCUCAAGUGACGUAUGGUGAAUACAUAGCCAUACGCCGGGAACCCGGUGAACUGAAACAUCUAAGUAGCCGGAGGAAGAGAAAACAACAAGUGAUUCCGUAAGUAGCGGCGAGCGAACGCGGAAGAGCCCAAACCGGAGUGCGUGCACUCCGGGGUUCGGACUGCAGGAUUGACGAGUGAGCCUAGUAGAAUGGUUUUGGGAAAGCCAGCCAGAGAGGGUGAAAGCCCCGUACACGAAAGGCAAGCGAGCAUGGCAGGAUCCAGAGUACCACGAGACACGUGAAACCUUGUGGGAAUGAGCGGGGACCACCCCGUAAGGCUAAAUACUCCUUAGUGACCGAUAGCGCAUAGUACUGUGAAGGAAAGGUGAAAAGGACCCCGGGAGGGGAGUGAAAGAGAACCUGAAACCCUGUGUUUACAAGCUGUGGAAGCACGUUAAGGUGCGACCGCGUACUUUUUGUAGAACGGUCCGGCGAGUUACGCUUACUGGCGAGGUUAAGCACUUCAGGUGUGGAGCCGUAGGGAAACCAAGUCUUAAGAGGGCCUUAAGUCAGUAGGAGUAGACCCGAAACCGGGUGAUCUAUCCAUGUCCAGGUUGAAGCUGCCGUAAGAGGUAGUGGAGGACCGAACCCACAUCCGUUGAAAAGGGUGGGGAUGAGGUGUGGAUAGGGGAGAAAUUCCAAUCGAACCCGGAGAUAGCUGGUUCUCCUCGAAAUAGCUUUAGGGCUAGCCUCGUAUUAGUUUAGCGGAGGUAGAGCACUGAAUUCCUAAGGGGGCGUCAAAGCUUACCAAGGGAUAUCAAACUCCGAAUGCCGCAUAAAUGAUGUACGGGAGUCAGACUGCACGAGAUAAGUUGGGUAGUCAAAAGGGAAAGAGCCCAGACCUACAGCUAAGGUCCCAAAGUGUGUGUUAAGUGGAAAAGGAUGUGGGAUUUCGAAGACAACUAGGAUGUUGGCUCAGAAGCAGCCACACAUUCAAAGAGUGCGUAAUAGCUCACUAGUCGAGAGGUCCUGCGCCGAAAAUGUCCGGGGCUAAAACACAACACCGAAGCUUAGGAAUGUAAUUAUACAUUGGUAGAGGAGCAUUCUUAAAGAGACGAAGCAGUACCGAUAAGGAGCUGUGGAUUUUUAAGAAGAGAGAAUGCCGGAAUGAGUAGCGAGAUGGAGGUGGGAAUCCUCCAGGCCGAAUAUCUAAGGUUUCCAGAGUAAAGCUGAUCUGCUCUGGGUAAGUCGGGGCCUAAGGCGAGGUCGAAAGACGUAGUCGAUGGAUAACAGGUAAAGAUUCCUGUACUAUAUCAUAACAGAACUGUGGGGACGCAGACAGAGAGCAUAAGCCGGGAAUGGAAAGACCGGUACAAGCGAGGUAGGAGUGCAUCAGGCAAAUCCGGUGCACAAUCUGAAGACGUGAUGUGGGGCGUAAAGCCGGAAGUAUGUGAGCUGGCUGCCAAGAAAAGCCGCUAUUGUUUACAGGAUACCCGUACCGUAAACCGACACAGGUGGAUGAGGAGAGAAUCCUAAGGCCGGCGGGAGAAGCAUUGUUAAGGAACUCGGCAAAAUGACCCUGUAACUUCGGGAUAAAGGGUGCCCACGAGAGUGGGCCGCAGAGAAUAGGCUCAAGCAACUGUUUAGCAAAAACACAGGUCUAUGCAAAACCGAAAGGUGAGGUAUAUGGGCUGACGCCUGCCCGGUGCUGGAAGGUUAAGAGGAGAGGUUAGCGGUAACGCGAAGCUUUGAAUUUAAGCCCCAGUAAACGGCGGCCGUAACUAUAACGGUCCUAAGGUAGCGAAAUUCCUUGUCGGGUAAGUUCCGACCCGCACGAAAGGCGUAAUGAUUUGAGCGCUGUCUCGACAAUGCACCCGGUGAAAUUGAAAUACCAGUGAAGAUGCUGGUUACCUGCGCCAGGACGGAAAGACCCCAUGGAGCUUUACUCCAGCUUGAUACUGGGAUUCGAUAUUGCAUGUACAGGAUAGGUGGGAGACUGAGAACUGAUGACGCCAGUUGUCAGGGAGUCACUGUUGGGAUACCACCCUUGUAGUAUUGGAUUUCUAACCAGCAGCCGUGAACCGGCUGGGGGACAAUGUCAGGUGGGGAGUUUGACUGGGGCGGUCGCCUCCGAAAGGGUAUCGGAGGCGCUCAAAGGUUCCCUCAGAAUGGUCGGAAACCAUUCGAAGAGUGCAAAGGCAGAAGGGAGCUUGACUGCGACACCGACGGGUGGAGCAGGUACGAAAGUAGGACUUAGUGAUCCGGUGGUAUAAAGUGGGAUUGCCAUCGCUCAACGGAUAAAAGCUACCCUGGGGAUAACAGGCUUAUCACUCCCAAGAGUUCACAUCGACGGAGUGGUUUGGCACCUCGAUGUCGGCUCAUCGCAUCCUGGGGCUGUAGCAGGU
rnacentral:rRNA from 1 species